rnacentral:rRNA from 1 species
AGCAGCCAUCAUUUAAAGAAAGCGUAAUAGCUCACUGGUCGAGUCGGCCUGCGCGGAAGAUGUAACGGGGCUAAACCAUGCACCGAAGCUGCGGCAGCGACACUAUGUGUUGUUGGGUAGGGGAGCGUUCUGUAAGCCUGCGAAGGUGUGCUGUGAGGCAUGCUGGAGGUAUCAGAAGUGCGAAUGCUGACAUAAGUAACGAUAAAGCGGGUGAAAAGCCCGCUCGCCGGAAGACCAAGGGUUCCUGUCCAACGUUAAUCGGGGCAGGGUGAGUCGACCCCUAAGGCGAGGCCGAAAGGCGUAGUCGAUGGGAAACAGGUUAAUAUUCCUGUACUUGGUGUUACUGCGAAGGGGGGACGGAGAAGGCUAUGUUAGCCGGGCGACGGUUGUCCCGGUUUAAGCAUGUAGGCUGGUUAUCCAGGCAAAUCCGGAUAAUCAAGGCUGAGGUGUGAUGACGAGGCACUACGGUGCUGAAGUAACAAAUGCCCUGCUUCCAGGAAAAGCCUCUAAGCAUCAGGUAACAUCAAAUCGUACCCCAAACCGACACAGGUGGUCAGGUAGAGAAUACCAAGGCGCUUGAGAGAACUCGGGUGAAGGAACUAGGCAAAAUGGUGCCGUAACUUCGGGAGAAGGCACGCUGGUGUGUAGGUGAAGUCCCUGCGGAUGGAGCUGAGACCAGUCGAAGAUACCAGCUGGCUGCAACUGUUUAUUAAAAACACAGCACUGUGCAAACACGAAAGUGGACGUAUACGGUGUGACGCCUGCCCGGUGCCGGAAGGUUAAUUGAUGGGGUUAUCCGUAAGGAGAAGCUCUUGAUCGAAGCCCCGGUAAACGGCGGCCGUAACUAUAACGGUCCUAAGGUAGCGAAAUUCCUUGUCGGGUAAGUUCCGACCUGCACGAAUGGCGUAAUGAUGGCCAGGCUGUCUCCACCCGAGACUCAGUGAAAUUGAACUCGCUGUGAAGAUGCAGUGUACCCGCGGCAAGACGGAAAGACCCCGUGAACCUUUACUAUAGCUUGACACUGAACAUUGAGCCUUGAUGUGUAGGAUAGGUGGGAGGCUUUGAAGCGUGGACGCCAGUCUGCGUGGAGCCAACCUUGAAAUACCACCCUUUAAUGUUUGAUGUUCUAACGUUGGCCCCUGACCGGGGUUGCGGACAGUGUCUGGUGGGUAGUUUGACUGGGGCGGUCUCCUCCCAAAGCGUAACGGAGGAGCACGAAGGUUAGCUAAUCCUGGUCGGACAUCAGGAGGUUAGUGCAAUGGCAUAAGCUAGCUUGACUGCGAGCGUGACGGCGCGAGCAGGUGCGAAAGCAGGUCAUAGUGAUCCGGUGGUUCUGAAUGGAAGGGCCAUCGCUCAACGGAUAAAAGGUACUCCGGGGAUAACAGGCUGAUACCGCCCAAGAGUUCAUAUCGACGGCGGUGUUUGGCACCUCGAUGUCGGCUCAUCACAUCCUGGGGCUGAAGUAGGUCCCAAGGGUAUGGCUGUUCGCCAUUUAAAGUGGUACGCGAGCUGGGUUUAGAACGUCGUGAGACAGUUCGGUCCCUAUCUGCCGUGGGCGCUGGAGAAUUGAGGGGGGCUGCUCCUAGUACGAGAGGACCGGAGUGGACGCAUCACUGGUGUUCGGGUUGUCAUGCCAAUGGCACUGCCCGGUAGCUAAAUGCGGAAGAGAUAAGUGCUGAAAGCAUCUAAGCACGAAACUUGCCCCGAGAUGAGUUCUCCCUGAGACU